AAUCAAACAAAACAAUCAGAAAUAACAGGGAUAAAACCCAGGGGACAACUAAACCCAACGAAGUUGAAUAAUAUAAAACUGGAUGUGAUACAAAGACAAAAGAAUAUCAUUGUUGCAGUGUCACGAUGCCUUCGAAGUUCAAAAACACGUUAAAACACACUGGCCACAAUUUCCAACACUCAUACUCGAACAAUAUCUGCACGCCUACAUCAUUACAUCGACACGAUUUCCGUGCACCUGGGACGCGCGACUUGCAACACAAGAUCCUUGAUAAAAGAAGUCCUAAGGUUGAGAAGCCAAAUAUAAUCUGGGGAGAUGACAUACCGGAAAGAAGGACCUCGUACAACAUUCACCAUUGUGAUCCUGCAAUACAAAGUGGAAUACGAUCGAGUCGGGCCCCACCACCAUUAGGCGCAGAGAUUCUUCCUCCACAGAACAGCCAUCCUACUGGACACGUAGCUCAUUGUACAAUGCGGGCGGAGUACCCUUAUCUGGGCCAUGAGGUGUCACAGCAAAUAUUUACAGAUAGGAGAAAGGAUCUUCAACUCAUCAAAAAAGUACAAACGACAGACUCAGUCCACGCGAGUCAGCAAGGUGCAAAGCGAAAGAUGAUGAGCCGUGUGAUGAUCGAUUAUACUGUUCCAGCGGACAGAGUGAAGGGGGACAACAUCAAGGCAAAGAUGGUUCAAACGAUAUCGCCAUACGUAAGAGAAGACAGCAUUUGGAACAGCAUUGGAGGACGUCUCGGUGAGGGAAAGCGGCUCAAUUACAAGACAAUACAGACACUAAACUAUAUAUGGCCUCCACAAAGAGGCACAAAGGCCAACAGAUAUGAAAUGGUGAAAGUAAGAUAGGAUAGGAUAGGAUCGUUGGAACCGAGUGUAAUACUCUCAUACACUCCCCUCCAUAAGUUUGACAACUAGAAGCCCCCUUUUAAGUGACCUAUCAAAGCCUGCUUAUACUUGGCGAUUUAAAAAAUUCAUCAGAUUUGUAAUAAAUUUCCAUUUUUGUUAUUCAGGAACAAAAUUAAGAUUCAAAUAUCAAAUGCUUCGAUAUGUUAUACUAAUGGAGGUGAGUGUACGUAUUUGGCAGUUAUACACAAUGAAAAAUAACAACCACCUCUGGGCAAAAUUAUUUGAUACUGGAAAUAAUGUAUGUACAUUGAGCAGUAUAAAUUGAAUAUUGUUAUCAGUUUUAUAAACAUGUUGUUAUCUUAUUUGUUUUUUUUGUUAAUUUAUACACUUUUA
rnacentral:misc_RNA from 1 species